rnacentral:rRNA from 1 species
AAAUGAAUUGACGGGGACCCGCACAAGCAGCGGAGCAUGUGGUUUAAUUCGAAGCAACGCGAAAAACCUUACCAGGGCUUGACAUCCUUCUGACCGGUCCUUAACCGGACCUUUCUUCGGACAGAAGUGACAGGUGGUGCAUGGUUGUCGUCAGCUCGUGUCGUGAGAUGUUGGGUUAAGUCCCGCAACGAGCGCAACCCUUGUCGUCAGUUACUAACAUUGAGUUGAGGACUCUGACGAGACUGCCGAGGUUAACUCGGAGGAAGGUGGGGAUGACGUCAAAUCAUCAUGCCCCUUAUGUUCUGGGCUACACACGUGCUACAAUGGUCGGUACAAUGAGAAGCAAGAUGGCGACAUGGAGCAAAUCACCAAAACCGAUCUCAGUUCGGAUUGCAGGCUGCAACUCGCCUGCAUGAAGUCGGAGUUGCUAGUAAUCGCGGAUCAGCAUGCCGCGGUGAAUGCGUUCCCGGGUCUUGUACACACCGCCCGU